rnacentral:lncRNA from 1 species
CUAGCCAGCCAUGUCUGGUACGUGCUCAAGAGAUGCCGUCUCUCUCCACAAGGCACCUGGAAGCACAUAGCUAAACCACAGGCUGGAAACUCCCAGUGCGCACUCUACCUGGAUGGCCCGCAGCAGCUUUGAUGGUGUUGUCCAAAUGAACUUUAGCCUCUUUUUGUGGUCUUAAAACCUUCGUAGUUUCCAUCUUUCAAAGGCUUCCUUCUAUGAGGGAGCUCAGACUAUCAAGAGAAGUCACACUGGAGUGUCCAGUUAGUCAGAUACACAGGGGCCCAGCUCUGCAGAGUUCCCACACAUAUGACCCUUUAUGGCCCGACAGUCAUAUACUUAAUCUAGAGGUUUGGUGGCCUUUGCAGCUAAAUAGUGAGGCAUUAGGGUUCAGAGUAACCAUUGCAGCCUGCCUUGCUGAGAGGCAGGAAAAGAACCUGCGCCAGCCGCCAGCCUCCCAUCUUUGCCAAAGCAGAUGCGCAUAGCACUGGCUUGCAUGUGCUGCUGGUGGAGGGGAGUUGAACGGACAUCAUCUUCAGAGAACACGCUGAAGUUGUGGUCUGAGGGUGAAGCGGAACUCAUGAAUCUGGUCCAAAGGGAGGGGAAUGUAACGACAGCUUUCCAAAGAGAGGAAUGAGCGGGCCAGCAAGGUCAUAGACUCUUCCUUGAAGGAACUGUCAUUUCUCCCGGUUCAAGCAUUCUGAACACUGAAUCGUUGAAUCAGAGUCACUGGUCUCAGGGAGGAUGAGGGCUGUGUUCCUGUGAGAUGACUGCGAUGUCAGCAUCAGCAUCACCUUUUAUUAGGUCUGUCUCUAUUUAAAGGCACCCUAGUUACCGGAUGCUAUUGCUUGUUAGUACUGAGCUCGACCACAGCACUGUGGCACCAAGGAAGCUUGUGUAAUCUUUCCCAGCUUUCUAAUGCUUAGCAACUUCUGAGAGCACUGUCCCAUUAUGCAUGCCUUGGGACCAGUUCAGUGAUCAAACCCACCAUAUUGGGUCUGGUAGCCCACAUUUGUAAUCUUAGCACCCAGGAAAUAGAGGCAGGAGGAUCAUUUGCAAAGUCAGGGCCAGUCUGGUCUACAUGGUGAGAUCAUGUGUCACAACACAAACAAAAAUCAAAAGCACCGUUAAGAAGCACAGAAGGCAAUAAUAAAUAAAGGUUGCAAGCAAGGCACCAUCAGGACACCUGCUUCCAGGGUCGGGGUGGAAACAGCCUCUGCGAGAAGCACUCAUGCCAGUCACUCAGAAUUUUCACUACACUGCUUUGUCUAAGUCUGUGAUUCACAUAGAAAAGGACUGUGGGACUGCAAGCAGAUUCCAACUAGUAGGUGAAUCUCCAAAUACGCUAUGAGGAAGUGAUUUUUAAGAGGCUGAAGAGAUGGCUCUGUGCUUAAGAGCACAAUCCAUUCUUCCAGAAGCCCUGGGUUCAACUCCCAUCUCUCACGGGCUUCCCUCGAGUUCUAAGGUGUUUGGUGCUCUCUUCUGACCUCCGCAGGCACCACACACACACACAUUGUGCAUUGACACCCGCCCACACCAAAUCAAAUC